rnacentral:piRNA from 1 species
UCUUUCUCAGGAGAACAUUUGUAAGCUGC